CUUUUCACGCACGACGCCGCAGACACGCCCAAAGCGCGCGCGGCGCCUGCCUUGUGCUCGAUCGGCCCCUUUUCUUUUAAUGGCCCUGUCGGGGGCGUGUGCAGCCGUCGGGCUCGACAUCAAUCACGUCCAACCGACGCAAACAAGGAGGAAAAAAAGGGCAAAAAAUGAACGCGUCAAAAAACAUGGCGGCACCGCCCCUUUGUACAAGAGGACGGGUCUCGAUUGACCUCGCGCCCGAGACGGCCGCAAGUCGCUCGAACAGGGGCACCUUUUGUUCCGACUCGCUCAUGACUUGCUGCUGGCGCCACGAAAAAAAUACCACACAACCGCGCCCGACAUUGGCUGCAUAGAGAGUCGAUUCUUUCUUGGCCCAAUGGUGCGCUUUGGUCGGGCCCUGUCGUAUUUGUGGUUGCCGAAAAAAAAAAUGCUGCGCGCUCACUCGCAAGGCGCAAUCGACUCGGCCGAGUCCGAAUCUUGUGGCUAGCCGGGACGCUACCGCCUCUUCUUUUUUUGUGAUUGGCGCACACAGUCGUCGGAGGCAAAGGCCAAUCGGCUUGUUGUCGCCAUGUCGCGCGAUGGCACGGCUCAUGGCCGACGAGACGGCGACCACGACUGAGGCGCAGACCGACCGACUGACUGACCGACUGACUGACUGGGGUUGGUUGUCAACGGAAAAGAGUGCGCACAAAUUUUUACGACAAAAUAAAAGCAAAGAACUCGAAAU
rnacentral:lncRNA from 1 species